AAGUCGUAACAAGGUUUCCGUAGGUGAACCUGCGGAAGGAUCAUUAAUGAAAAGUUCUUCUGAACCAAUCAUCACCCCAUUGUUUACCCACCCCUAUUGUUGCUUCCACUGGACAGGUCGACCCGUUAAAAGGUAGACCCUCUGGCGCACAACACUGAACCGGCCUUAAAAACGUCGACUUGGUUGUUGUAUGCUGGGGAGCGCCGGUGGGCAACCCACUUUAAAAAAAUACUUAAAUAUGAUAAAACUGUCUGAACCAAUUUUUUUAUAAAAACCUUAUAAAACUUUCAACAACGGAUCUCUAGGCUCUU
rnacentral:misc_RNA from 1 species